rnacentral:rRNA from 1 species
UCGUACGCUUCUUUUUCCACCGGAGCUUGCUCCACCGGAAAAAGAAGAGUGGCGAACGGGUGAGUAACACGUGGGUAACCUGCCCAUCAGAAGGGGAUAACACUUGGAAACAGGUGCUAAUACCGUAUAACAAUCGAAACCGCAUGGUUUUGAUUUGAAAGGCGCUUUCGGGUGUCGCUGAUGGAUGGACCCGCGGUGCAUUAGCUAGUUGGUGAGGUAACGGCUCACCAAGGCCACGAUGCAUAGCCGACCUGAGAGGGUGAUCGGCCACAUUGGGACUGAGACACGGCCCAAACUCCUACGGGAGGCAGCAGUAGGGAAUCUUCGGCAAUGGACGAAAGUCUGACCGAGCAACGCCGCGUGAGUGAAGAAGGUUUUCGGAUCGUAAAACUCUGUUGUUAGAGAAGAACAAGGAUGAGAGUAACUGUUCAUCCCUUGACGGUAUCUAACCAGAAAGCCACGGCUAACUACGUGCCAGCAGCCGCGGUAAUACGUAGGUGGCAAGCGUUGUCCGGAUUUAUUGGGCGUAAAGCGAGCGCAGGCGGUUUCUUAAGUCUGAUGUGAAAGCCCCCGGCUCAACCGGGGAGGGUCAUUGGAAACUGGGAGACUUGAGUGCAGAAGAGGAGAGUGGAAUUCCAUGUGUAGCGGUGAAAUGCGUAGAUAUAUGGAGGAACACCAGUGGCGAA